rnacentral:misc_RNA from 1 species
AUGGCUUCUACUUGCUACUUCCUCUCAUUUCCUUCACUGUCCAAGCCAUUGCCACCGUCUCUUCUCCCUCUCAAAUUCUUCACAGCUCGGCCCUGCAAAACCCAAUCCACCAACUUAUCUUCCUCCGCCACCACAGCGGGCGUCCAAGAUGAUCCCAAAACAACCUCUCUGCCCAUGUCCAUCGAUAACCUUCACCGCUUCUUUGACCUCAAUAUAGGCAAAUGGCACGGAUCUUUCCACCAAUUUGAUGCUAAUGGGAAAUUGAUGCAAAAAGUGAGCACA